UGAAGAAGACAAAUUGAAGCAUAGUGGUUCUACAUGCUUAGAAAAUGUUGUUUAUUCGCAUAUGGAUGGGGUGUGCAGGUCAGUUGACAUGUCCAGUGUGCCAGAACCAUCAUUUGUCCCUGAGACUGAGUUUGGUGAUCAAACAGACCUAUUUUCUGUAGCAGUAUCUUGCAGCCUCAUGGAAGUGGAUUCGAUGAGUGAAAAUUUAUUACCAAGGUUCUCUUCCAUUAACGAUGCAAAGUGCUGUACUCCACCAUAUGAGAACCAGGAAAUGCUGAGCAAUGAUAGUGAUAUGCAUAAGAAAACAUUGAAGACAGAGGAGAUAGGUGAUUCUAACCUUGAACAUGUAGAAGAUGGCAUAAGAGGACAUCAAAUGUUGGAUGAAUGUAGCCGCGUUGAGUUCAGUGGAGCUCCUAAGACCUUCAAGACACUAAAGCCUCAUCAACAGGUUGAUUUUGUAGAAGAAACAUGGAAAAGACUGCGUGAGCGUAAAACAGAUUUACAGCAGUAUGUUACCCCUCAACAGAAAGAAGCUUUUCAAGCUCUAAAAGUUGCUUCCGGAAUGAGUAAACUAAUUUCUGAAGCUGAUUCAUUAGUUACUUUGUGCCAAUCACAGAUAUGUGUAAGU
rnacentral:lncRNA from 1 species